rnacentral:rRNA from 1 species
GACGAACGCUGGCGGCGCGCUUAACACAUGCAAGUCGAACGGAAAGGCCUGCUUUCCCUUGUGGAUUGCGGGUACUCGAGUGGCGAACGGGUGAGUAACACGUGAGUGAUCUGCCCCCAACUUGGGUAUAAGCCUGGGAAACUGGGUCUAAUUCCCGAUAGGACUGCAGGGUGGUGCCUGUGGUGGAAAACGAUUUUCUAGUGGUUGGGGAUGAGCUCGCGGCCUAUCAGCUUGUUGGUGGGGUAAUGGCCUACCAAGGCGGCGACGGGUAGCCGGCCUGAGAGGGUGGACGGCCACAUUGGGACUGAGAUACGGCCCAGACUCCUACGGGAGGCAGCAGUGGGGAAUAUUGCACAAUGGGCGGAAGCCUGAUGCAGCGACGCCGCGUGGGGGACGACGGCCUUCGGGUUGUAAACUCCUUUCGACCGCGAGGAAGCCACCUGGUUGGAAGGGUGGUGACGGUAGUGGUAGAAGAAGCACCGGCUAACUACGUG